rnacentral:rRNA from 1 species
UUGAAAAGCUUCUGGAUGAGCUGAGGGUAGGGGUGAAAGGCUAAUCAAACUUGGAGAUAGCUCGUACUCCCCGAAAUGCAUUUAGGUGCAGCCUUGCGGGUUACUGAUGUGAGGUAGAGCGACUGAUAAGAUGCGAGGGCUUCACCGCCUAUCAAGUCUUGACAAACUCCGAAUGCGCAUCAGUUCUACCGCAGGAGUGAGGGCAUGGGUGCUAAGGUCCGUGCCCGAGAGGAGAAGAAUCCGGACCACCUGCUAAGGUCCCGAAAUGACAGCUAAGUUAAACUAACGAAGUCUGACUGCUAAGACAGCUAGGAUGUUGGCUUGGAAGCAGCCAUUCAUUUAAAGAGUGCGUAACAGCUCACUAGUCGAGGAGUCGGGCGUGGAUAAUAAUCGGGUAUCAAGUUGUCUACCGAAGCAGUGGGAUCAUUUAUAUGAUCGGUAGGGGAGCAUUCCAGUCAGCGUCGAAGGCGUACCGUGAGGUAUUCUGGAGCGUCUGGAAAAGCAAAUGUAGGUAUAAGUAACGAUAAAGGGGGCGGGAAACCCCCUCGCCGAAAGACUAAGGUUUCCUGAUCAACGCUAAUCGGAUCAGGGUCAGUCGGGUCCUAAGGCUCAGCCGAACGGCGAUGCCGAUGGCAGAAACGGUUAAUAUUCCGUUACUACCUUCAGGAGUGACGUGGAGACGCAGUAGUGACAGUGCCGCCAUCUGACGGAAUAGAUGGUUGAAGGGUGUAGGAGUCGAUCAUGGCAGGCAAAUCCACCAUGAGAUCCGAACCUGAUAGUAUGCCGCGUCCUUCGGGACAAGGCAAUAGUGCGCGUAAGCAUGCUGCCGAGAAAAUCCGCUAAACUUAAUCCUGCAGGUACCCGUACCGCAAACGGACACACGUAGUCGGGAUGAAUAUUCUAAGGCGCUUGAGUGAUUCACGGUUAAGGAACUAGGCAAACUGACCCUGUAACUUCGGGAUAAAGGGUCCCUACCCUUUUAUGGGAGGGCGCAGAGAAUCGGUCCAGGCAACUGUUUAACAAAAACACAGGGCUGUGCCAAAUCGAAAGAUCCAGUAUACAGCCUGACACCUGCCCGGUGCUGGAAGGUUAAGAGGAGAUGUCAUCGAUAAGAGAAGCGUUGAAUUGAAGCCCCAGUAAACGGCGGCCGUAACUAUAACGGUCCUAAGGUAGCGAAAUUCCUUGUCGGGUAAGUUCCGACCUGCACGAAUGGUGUAAUGAUCUGGACGCUGUCUCAACCGUGAGCUCAGUGAAAUUGUAGUAUCGGUGAAGAUGCCGAUUACCCGCGAUGGGACGAAAAGACCCCGUGAACCUUUACUAUAGCUUAUCAUUGAAUCUGGGCACGUGAUGUGUAGGAUAGGUCGGAGGCUUUGAAGCAGGUACGCCAGUAUUUGUGGAGCCGCUGUUGAAAUACGACCCUUUAUUUGUUUGGAUUCUAACCCGUGGUACGGGGACAUUGAUUGGUGGGUAGUUUGACUGGGGUGGUCGCCUCCAAAAGCGUAACGGAGGCUUCUAAAGGUGCCCUCCGGCCGAUUGGUAACCGGCCUUAGAGUGUAAUGGCAUAAGGGCGCUUGACUGGGAGACU